rnacentral:snRNA from 1 species
GUGCUCGCUUUGGCAGCACAUACACAAAAAAAUUGGAAUGAUAACAGAGAAGAUUAGCAUGGCCCCUGCCCAGGGAUGACACACAAAUUCAUGACGAGUUCCAUAUUUAU